rnacentral:sRNA from 1 species
UUUUCAUUGGCGGGUCCGCCGCCCGCCCCGCCGCGGUCGAGGAUCCUGGAGGUUUGUCCCCACCGCCCCGACGCUUCCGCCCCAUCCGUCGGCACGUCGGCCCUGCCUCCCAGACCACCCUGCGGGGCGCACCAGCGAUCUGGAGUGCGGGGCUCGGCCUCCCUGCGCUCCUGGCUGACGGUGUGACCUUGGGUCUUAACCAUGAACUUCUCUGGAGGAAGGAGGCAGGAAGCAGCAGGGUCCAGGGGUAGAAGGGGUCCCAGACCCCGAGAACAGGACCGAGACGUGCAGCUGUCCAAGGCUCUGUCCUAUGCCCUGCGCCAUGGGGCCUUGAAGCUGGGGCUUCCCAUGGGAGCUGGUAAGUGGGGGCCUUGGAGGCUGGGGCUUGAGCCCAGAGAGAAACGUGAGCCUGUCUGCGACUCCGCCCCCACGGCUGCCUCCACUGCUCCCUGAGGAAGGCACAGAGGGCACUUCCUCCCCAUGCACAGAGGAGAGCAAGGCCUAGAGCCCCUGUCAUGUCCACAGCAGACUGAGGAGAGUUCUUGUCUGGGCCAGGCCUGGUGACCGCCCCCUCCAGCCAAGCAGCCAGGUCAGCACUUACCCCGAGGGCGUGCCCUGGAGGGUAUGGCGCAGCUGGUGUUGUGAGUGUGCACUCCGGGCCAGCGCUAUGCUGAGCACUCACCUCCCUGCCCCUCCGUGAGGCAGAUCCUCUUUUUAUGUAAGUUGAAAAAACUGGGGCCCAGAAAGGGGAGACUUUCUAAAGGUCCCACAGAGGAUGCCCGAGCGAUCUCCAAGCCCAGACUUUGUUUCGGUUGCCUAUGGCUCCCUGUUAACCCUGGCCCAGUCCAGAGCAAGGUUGGCUCCUGAGCACCCUGCCUGCCCACAGACGGCUUCGUGCCCCUGGGCGCCCUCCUGCAGUUGCCCCAGUUCCGCGGCUUCUCUGCUGAAGAUGUGCAGCGCGUGGUGGACACCAAUAGGAAGCAGCGGUUCGCCCUGCAGCCCGGGGAUCCCAGCACUGGCCUUCUCAUCCGGGCCAACCAGGGCCAUUCCCUGCAGGUACCUAAGUUGGAGCUGAUGCCCCUGGAGACACCGCAGGCCCUGCCCCCGAUGCUAGUCCAUGGUACAUUCUGGAAGCACUGGCCAUCCAUCCUACUCAAGGGCCUGUCCUGCCAGGGAAGGACACACAUCCACCUGGCCCCAGGACUGCCUGGAGACCCCGGUGUCAUCAGUGGUCAGUGCCCUCCCCUCCACCUAGCUACUCCCACCCACUCUGUCCUCCCAGGUCCCCUUCAAAGGUUACAACACUUGUCUGGGGUCACCCCAUGCCUGGCAUGGAGCAGCACCCCUGCAUCCCCCAGCCCAGGAGUCCAGUCUGCCCAGGUUGCUGACUGCACUCCAGGUGCCCAGGCCUCAGCUCCAGCUGUCUCUGCAGGCAUGCGGCCCCAUUGUGAAAUAGCUGUGUUCAUCGAUGGCCCCCUGGCUCUGGCAGGUGAGUCUGGACAAAGCAGGGCCUGCCCUUGCCUUCGGGGAGGGCAUGAGUCACAUCUCUGGCUCUGUCAACAGAUGGAAUACCCUUCUUCCGCUCUGCCAAUGGGGUGAUUCUGACUCCAGGGAAUACUGAUGGCUUCCUGCUUCCCAAGUACUUCAAGGAGGCCCUGCAGCUACGCCCUACCCGAAAGCCCCUUUCCUUGGCUGGUGAUGAAGAGACAGAGUGUCAGUGUAGCCCCAAGCACAGCUCCAGAGAAAGGAGGAGGAUCCAACAAUAAAAUAUUAAUUUAUAAAAAAGAAAUUUUAAAAAGUAACAAGAAAGAA